UAUUUUUUAAUCCUUUCAGGCCGGCCGUGUGUGGCCGAGCAGUUCUAGGCGCUUCAGUCUGGAACCGCGCGACCACUACGGUCGCAGGUUCGAAUCCUGCCUCGGGCAUGGAUGUGUGUGAUGUCCUUAGGUUAGUUAGGUUUCAGUAGUUCUAAGUUCUAGGGUACUGAUGACCUCAGAUUUAAGUCCCAUAGUGCUUAGAGCCAUUUUGAAUCCUGUCAGUAUAGAUUCAAUAGAGAUGAAUUAGGGCCCUAUACAAGCCACACAUUGUAAAUCUGUCACAAGUGAGCAUUAAAAGGUCAAUUCAGGACAGUAUCCAUUACUUGAAGUCGUGAGGUCGUAUCGCCAAGAAUUAUUACCAGAUGUAAGUUGUUCUUUGAUACAAGAUCCUUAAAUUCCUGGGUGAAGUGUCCCCUGAAGGAAUUAAGGACAAACAUUUCCUUCUGUUAUGCAAAGAGCCUGGUAUUUUGUUCAAAGUAACAUUCACUGAUCUAGCAUUGGGCCAUUUGUCAUCCAUCCCUCUCCUUGACAUCUAAAGAAAAGUCAUGCAGGCAGUUUCUUUUCUCUCAUAUGGAGCAGCUUCCUUCAGUCUGCUAGUGUACUCAGCAUUACUGUUAUUCUCAUCAAGAGGUGAUGUAUAUCAAAAUAAAAGUGUCUGAUCAGCUUAGCCCAAAUAGACUAGCAAAUAGUGGUACUGUUUUCUUAAAUUGAUUAUGUGAUAGUGAUAAAAAAGUAGAUUUUUGUCAGAUGCUGGGGGAGGUCGUCGUGCCAGCAUUGUUUUGUGUUGUAAUGUAGGCCCGCCAUCACCAUCAUCAUCAUCUUCACCACCACCACCACCAUCACCACACACCAGUCAGUACAUGUUUUGAAUUCUGCAAUGCAUGCAGUUGGAAAAUUUCUCUCUGUAUCCUGCACUAUGUCAGCUAAUUUGUCAAGUAUUGAGGAAGCCUUCAUUGCAUUUAUUUUGCACGUACUGCUGCAAUUCAUGAAACCCUCCCUGCAUUGGACCUCAGAGAGUUUGGGAUGAAGAAUUGGUGUUCCUUAAUUUAUUUGUAAUAUGAUGCCAUCUUGGAACAUACUCUUCUGUGACAACAGAUUUUCUUCCUGCUGCAAUGUUUGUUGUAUUGUCUGUGUGAACCAAAUGUGAACUGUGAUUUCAUGUAUCCAUGUUUCUCAUUAGUCACUGCUUUUGUUUUCAUCCAUUAUCGAUUGCUAUAAUUUACAGUUUAUGCAGUUCUGACAGUAUGAGCAAGCUGAACGACAACUCAUUAUUUUCUUGAUUCCCACAGCUGAAUUGGCCGAAAUUGUUCUGCUUUGUAUUAACAGUACAAUUCGAAACUCGUUGCCAACCUUGAAAAAAAAAAAAAAGAA